rnacentral:rRNA from 1 species
GGACUACUGGGGUAUCUAAUCCCGUUCGCUCCCCUGGCUUUCGUCCAUGAGCGUCAGAAACUUCCCAGGAGACUGCCUACGCCUUUGGUGUUCCUCCGGAUAUCUACGCAUUUCACCACUACACCCGGAAUUCCGUCUCCCUCUGAAGUCCUCAAGUCCACCAGUUUUCGAAGGCCUUUCCCAGUUGAGCCGGGAACUGUCACUCCAAACUUAAUGGACCGCCUGCGGACGCUUUACGCCCAGUAACUCCGGACAACGCUUGCUCCCUACGUAUUACCGCGGCUGCUGGCAC